GCAACUUUGGUCCAAUGGUUAAGAUUCCGCUUUCCCAUGUUUGCUAGGCGGAGAUCGGGGUUCAAUUCCCCGGAGUUGCA
rfam:Serendipita vermifera MAFF 305830 unplaced genomic scaffold scaffold_36, whole genome shotgun sequence.